UACGUAGGGUGCGAGCGUUAAUCGGAAUUACUGGGCGUAAAGCGUGCGCAGGCGGUUCGUCAAGUCUGAUGUGAAAGCCCCGGGCUCAACCUGGGAACGGCAUUGGAAACUGGCGGGCUGGAGUGUGGCAGAGGGGGGUGGAAUUCCGCGUGUAGCAGUGAAAUGCGUAGAGAUGCGGAGGAACACCGAUGGCGAAGGCAGCCCCCUGGGCUGACACUGACGCUCAGGCACGAAAGCGUGGGGAGCAAACAGGAUUAGAAACCCCUGUAGUCC
rnacentral:rRNA from 1 species